rnacentral:rRNA from 1 species
AACAAAAACACAGGUCCGUGCAAACUCGAAAGAGGACGUAUACGGGCUGAAACCUGCCCAGUGCCGGAAGGUUAACUGCGAGAGUGGUACCCGCAAGGGUACUGCUUUCAAUUGAAGCCCCGGUGAACGGCAGCAGUAACUAUAACUGUUCUAUGGUAUCAAAAUCAGCGAAAUACCUUGUCGCUUAAUUGGCGACGCGCAUGAAAGGAACAACGAGUCUCCAACUGUCUCGAACCAUUACUCGGCGAAAUUGAAAUGGCUGUGAAGAUGCGGCCUACUGGCAGUAGGACAAAAAGACCCCAUGAAGCUUUACUAUAGCUUGGCACUGAUGUUUUAUUCGGGAUUGUCUAGGAUAGGCGGGAGUGUGUGCCGCAAGGUACAUACAACAGUGUAAUACCGCUCGUUUCGUAUAAAAUAUCUCACCCAAUUCGCCUGCAAACGGCGAAGGGAACACUGUCUGGCGGGUAGUUUAACUGGGGAGGUUGCUUGCUAAAGAGUACCGCAAGCGCGCAAUGGUAUCCUUGGCCCGGAUGGAAAUCGGGCUGGAAGUGCAACGGCAUAAGGAUGCUUGACUGUGAGGCAAACAGGCCGAGCAGGUGCGAAAGCAGGUCAUAGUGAUCCUCGUGUACUUUGUGGAAGGUACCGGGCUUAACGGAUAAAAGCUACUCUGGGGAUAACAGAGUCAUCGCGCCUAAGCGUCCCUAGCGACGGCGCGGUUUGCUACCUCAAAACGCAUCCUGGGGGUGAAGAAGCUCCCAAGGGUUGGUCUGUUCGCCCAUUAAAGCGUUACGCGAGCUGGGUUCAGAACGUCGUGAGACAGUACGGCCUCUAUCCACUGUCAGCGCUGGAUGUUUGAAGGAUUUUGCUUCUAGUUGACGAGAGGACCGAAGUGAGGGAAUCCCUGGUGUGCCUGUUGUCGCUGUCAAGCGCAAUGCAGGGUAGCCACAUUCCUGUUGGAUAACCGCUGAAAGCAUCUAAGCGGGAAGCCGUUCCUAAGAUGAGACAUCCCAAUAGACCCCUCGGAGAUUACGAGGUUGAUAGGCAGCCGGUGUACGUCCUGUGAAGGAUUAAGCCUAGCUGUACUAAUCGGUCGAU